rnacentral:tRNA from 1 species
GUUGUGGCUCAGUGGUAGAGUGCAUGCCUAGCACGUGCAAGGUACUGGGCUCAAUCCUCAGCACCACA